UACGAAGGGGGCUAGCGUUGUUCGGAAUUACUGGGCGUAAAGCGCGCGCAGGCGGUCCUUCAAGUCAGAGGUGAAAGCCCAGGGCUCAACCCUGGAACUGCCUUUGAAACUGGAGGACUUGAGUACGGGAGAGGUGAGUGGAAUUCCGAGUGUAGAGGUGAAAUUCGUAGAUAUUCGGAAGAACACCAGUGGCGAAGGCGGCUCACUGGCCCGUUACUGACGCUGAGGAGCGAAAGCGUGGGGAGCGAACAGG
rnacentral:rRNA from 1 species